AUGGUGGCGCCCGCGGGAGGAGGGUCGCCGUCGCGGUGGCCGUCGGAGGAGGAGCUUGACAUUGUGCGGAAGAAUGUGGUCGAGAUUAGUGGAAGAGAUGCGAGAGAGGUUAGGGUGGUUGCUUGCCCCUACAGGAUUUGUCCUUUGGGGGCCCACAUUGAUCAUCAGGGCGGAAUAGUGACUGCUAUGACAAUCAAUUAUGGAGUACUUCUUGGCUUUGUGCCCUCUGAUGAUGCUGAGGUUGUACUCCAGUCUGGUCAAUUUAAAGGCGUUACUCGAUUCAGAGUUGAUGACUUGCAAAAGCCUAUUGAGAACCGAGGAAACAUAACUUGGGAAAGCUAUGCAAGAGGUGCAGUUUAUGCCCUGCAAAAUAGUGGAUAUGAUCUCAGAAAGGGUAUAAUAGGUUAUAUUUCUGGAGUGAAUGGACUUGACAGUUCAGGGCUUAGUUCGUCUGCAGCUGUUGGCAUUGCCUAUUUGCUGGCUUUAGAAAAUGUAAAUGAUCUGGUCUUAUCACCAGUUGAUAACAUUCAGUUGGACAAGUCCAUUGAAAAUAAAUAUUUGGGUCUUGAAAAUGGCAUUCUAGAUCCAUCAGCCAUUUUAUUGUCUCGAUACAGCUACCUCACCUUCAUGGAUUGCAAGACUGCCUCACCUUCCUACGUCUACUUCUCGGAACUAAGUAAAAGCCAGCAACCUCAAGGUCGGCUGCCAUUCAAGAUUUUGUUGGCAUUUUCAGGUUUGCAACAUAACCUACCCAAGUCGCGUGGGUAUAAUAUGCGAGUCUUCGAGUGCAAAGAGGCUGCACGUGCUCUUUUAUGUGCGUCAGGCUCUGAAGAUGCACCAAUACUUCGUAAAGUUGAUCCAGGUGUAUAUGAGGCCCAAAAGUGUAUAUUAGAUGAAAAUCUUGCCAAGAGAGCUGAGCACUAUUUCUCUGAAAUGAAGCGAGUUGUUAAGGGAAGAGAGGCAUGGGCUCGUGGAGACCUACAAGAAUUCGGACAGCUGGUCUCUGCAUCUGGCCGCAGCUCCAUAGUCAACUACGAAUGCGGGAGCAAAGAGAUGAUACAGCUGUACGAGAUCCUCCUGAAGGCGCCAGGGGUCCUCGGCGCGCGGUUCAGCGGCGCUGGCUUCAGAGGCUGCUGCCUCGCCAUCGUCGAAAGCGACCACGCGGAGGAGGCCGCGGCGUACGUUGGCGCCGAGUACGAGAGGGCCCAGCCAGAGCUGGUGAGCAAGAUCCCCGCGGAUCGUCGCGUGCUGGUCUGCGAGCCCGGGGACUCCGCGCGCGUCAUAUUGCAGUCAUGA
rnacentral:rRNA from 1 species